rnacentral:lncRNA from 1 species
UCGAUCGCUAUUACGAUUCAUUUUCCGACCGAUCAAUAUAUCCAAUGGAUGUUUAAGUGCCACCCACAUUAGGGUUAUACUUUGUCGUUCGUCGUUAAAUCGAUGGAUGUUUAAGUAUCGCACUUUGUCGUUCGUUGUGAGAAUUUGAUCUCGUGAGUUAUCGUAAUUGUUGUAUUAAGUUACCUACCUAGUUCGUAUGCACUAGGUUAUAAGGCUAAAUCAAUAGGCUAAGCUCUACCUGUGUAAAUCUGCAAUAUAUCAAGGCUUAUCUGUAAGAUUAAACUUUGGCCGUAUGAAUCUGCAUGAUUAUAAUGUAAUUACAGUACAUUGGAAUAAGAAUUGGAUCCGGCACCGAAGGCAUCAAGAAGUGGCUUAUUUUAUUAAUUAAAUAUUACAGUACAUUGGAAUAAGAAUUGGAUCCGGCACCGAAGGCAUCAAGAAGUGGCUUAUUUUAUUAAUUAAAUCAAAUUAAGAAAUAUUGUUUUCAUUAAAAGCUACCUUUGUAACAAUGGAAUUUAUUCCAUCUAUUUAAAUAAAAUCCGGUGUUUCUAAACUCUGAUAUUUUUCCUAACUCGCGGUCCUGAUGAAAUUUCCGCUGCAAUGUUUUUCAAAAUAAUCACCGGUACCACUGGACUGCUCACGGCACCGAUUCCGGCCAGAUGGGGUCGGGGGUCGU